rnacentral:tRNA from 1 species
GGGUAUAGCUUAGUGGUAGAGCACAUGCUUAGCAUGCACAAGACCUGGGUUCAAUCCCCAGCAUCACA